rnacentral:rRNA from 1 species
GAGUUUGAUCUUGGCUCAGAUUGAACGCUGGCGGCAUGCCUUACACAUGCAAGUCGAACGGCAGCACGGGAGCUUGCUCCUGGUGGCGAGUGGCGAACGGGUGAGUAAUGCAUCGGAACGUAUCCUGGAGUGGGGGAUAACGUAGCGAAAGUUACGCUAAUACCGCAUAUUCUGUGAGCAGGAAAGCGGGGGACCUUCGGGCCUCGCGCUCUUGGGGCGGCCGAUGUCGGAUUAGCUAGUUGGUGAGGUAAAGGCUCACCAAGGCGACGAUCCGUAGCAGGUCUGAGAGGAUGAUCUGCCACACUGGAACUGAGACACGGUCCAGACUCCUACGGGAGGCAGCAGUGGGGAAUUUUGGACAAUGGGGGCAACCCUGAUCCAGCCAUGCCGCGUGAGUGAAGAAGGCC